CUGUAUGUACCAACCAAACAAGUUACAUGACUAUGAUUUUAGUUGCUAUAGUUACAAAGCCUUCUCUGGUGAACGUGACUUCUGUUCACAAGUGUUGGCCGACAGGUAAUUACUCUGACCAAAUUGUUUAUCAUUGCUGAAAUGAUAGAAAACCUUACAUUUUUGGUUUGACUUCUGUUAUGCCGAGGGUUCGGAGCUUAUUUAAUUUGCACCCUGAUGGAAGAUCCCUGCAAGUCCCUGCAUCCAUAUUCCAUCAUCUAAUGGAAAGCCUUCCCAGAAUGAAGGUUGUUAUGGCAGCACAACGAGGACUGACUCUCUAUUAAUGCCAAUCAUUGGACGUUAGGGUGUCCACAUAUAGUACUUCUGGUCAUAUAGAGUAUAUCUACCUAUAAAAUGAGAUCUGGUAAAUGGGCUUAUAACAUUCAGAGAGUAUUUGCUUGUGAAAAGUGCUAUUUUUAGUCGGUGAGGGCAGACAGAUGCAGAGGCCACAUUAUGCUCAUUACUGCAUUUCUAAUUUCAUAAAUCCUUAUGUGGCUACACUUAAUGGUCAGCAGCCGUGAACACAGACUGCGGGAGUUAAACCCCCCUCUACGUGGAACAGCAGUCAGGUGUGCCGGGGGAAUGUGGGUAUGAGCGAGAAAACAUGUUCCUACAAGAAAUCUCAUCCGGACAUGAAUUGCCUUGACCUUUCAGUUGCUAGGGUGCACUGUUAAUUCUAAUAUGUAACUAUGACAACCCCCGCCUCUGCGAGCUGCUAUGACGCACUGGCCAAAUCGAUAGCACGUUGUUCGUAAAUGUGCCCUGGCCUAACCUCUGGGUUCUUCAAUUUAUUUUCAUUCACACCGCCUCACACACACACACGGAGCCAGACAAGUCAUCACUUAGCGGUGACUUGCUUUUCUGCUCAUCACAGACAUUAUCUCAAGGAUGUUUUCUGCAGCAAUCAGAGGCUCAGCGUGCGAUUGGUUCUGUCCUAUUAUUGGGAGUUGCUGUAACUCACCGACACAAGUGGCUUCCUUUUAUUUUUGAGAAAUACUCGUACAGCCAAUCAAUAAGCUGUAGAGGGGGAUCCAUUCAGGAGCAGAAAUUCCACCCAAACUCUCGAUUGUUUUUCAGUCUCAUCCGACGCGUUGAAAUCGAAUGCACACCAUUGAUAGAUGAGAAAAGCGCUUCAGGCUCGAAGCCCGGAGGAGGAUUUAAGCGAGGGGUGUAUUCCAACACACGCUCGCACACGUGUAAGCGUAUGUGCCCUGGCACUGGGCUCGUGUCUUCAUUUUUGGCCUCCAACAUAUUGGGAACACGCUGCGUAAAUAUCUUCAACUCUGUCGGAGAGUUAAAGAAAGAGAGAAAAACUGUCAGUGUUGUGGACGAGGAAUGAGCUGUUGAGUAACAGUCUAAAGGUUAAAGUAAUAAAGAUGGAGAAUUCAUGCUU